rnacentral:rRNA from 1 species
AUUGAACGCUGGCGGCAGGCCUAACACAUGCAAGUCGAGCGGAUGAAGGGAGCUUGCUCCUGGAUUCAGCGGCGGACGGGUGCGUAAUGCCUAGGAAUCUGCCUGGUAGUGGGGGAUAACGUCCGGAAACGGGCGCUAAUACCGCAUACGUCCUGAGGGAGAAAGUGGGGGAUCUUCGGACCUCACGCUAUCAGAUGAGCCUAGGUCGGAUUAGCUAGUUGGUGGGGUAAAGGCCUACCAAGGCGCCGAUCCGUAACUGGUCUGAGAGGAUGAUCAGUCACACUGGAACUGAGACACGGUCCAGACUCCUAAGGGAGGCAGCAGUGGGGAAUAUUGGACAGUAGGCGGAAGCCUGAUCCAGCCAUGCCGCGUGUGUGAAGAAGGUCUACGGAUUGUAAAGCACUUUGAGUUGGGAGGAAGGGCAGUAAGUUAAUACCUUGCUGUUUUGACGUUACCAACAGAAUAAGCACCGGCUAACUUCGUG